rnacentral:rRNA from 1 species
GACGAACGCUGGCGGCGUGCUUAACACAUGCAAGUCGAACGGAAAGGCCCUGCUUUUGUGGGGUGCUCGAGUGGCGAACGGGUGAGUAACACGUGAGUAACCUACCCUUGACUUUGGGAUAACUUCAGGAAACUGGGGCUAAUACCGGAUAGGAGCUCCUGCUGCAUGGUGGGGGUUGGAAAGUUUCGGCGGUUGGGGAUGGACUCGCGGCUUAUCAGCUUGUUGGUGGGGUAGUGGCUUACCAAGGCUUUGACGGGUAGCCGGCCUGAGAGGGUGACCGGCCACAUUGGGACUGAGAUACGGCCCAGACUCCUACGGGAGGCAGCAGUGGGGAAUAUUGCACAAUGGGCGGAAGCCUGAUGCAGCAACGCCGCGUGCGGGAUGACAGCCUUCGGGUUGUAAACCGCUUUCGCCUGUGACGAAGCGUGAGUGACGGUAAUGGGUAAAGAAGCACCGGCUAACUACGUG